AGGCAGAGGCAGAGGCAGAAGUAGAGGGAGAGAGAUCUCUGUGAGUUCUAGUCCAGCAAGUUGUAGGACAGCUGGGGCUACGACUAGAGAGUCCCUGUCUCAAAAAACAAAUAACCUCCAGGUAGCGGUGGUGAACGCCUUUAAUCCCAGCACUUGGGAGACAGAGGUAGGCAGAUCUCUGAGUUCAAGGUCAGCCUGGUCUACGCAGUGAGUUCCAGGACUUUCAGGGAUACAGAGAGAAACCUUAUUUUGAAAAAACAAACAAACAAACAAACAAAACAACAAAAAGAAAAUGGAAAAUACAUACAGGAUUUUAAACUUCUGUGGAAAAAAAUAUCCAUGAUAACUUCUUUUUUUUUUUUUUUUUUGACUUUUCGAGACAGGGUUUCUCUGUGUAAUAACAUGUACCACCACCAGGCUUUUUUUUUUUCUUUAAAGAUAAGGAACUGUGAUGUAGCCCAGACUGGCCUUAAAAUUAAGAUAAUCCUCCUGUUUCAGCCUCCCAAGGUCUGAGAUGAUAGACAUAUACCACCUACUAGCUUUUAUAUUGAUGACACAUUGACUAUUAUUUUAGAUACAUUGGGCUAGAUAAAAUAUGCUUUUAGAAUUUAUUCCAAGGCCUAUUCAGUUAGAUGGUUCAGUGGAUAAAGACACUUGCCAUUCAGCCUGAUGGCAUGAAUUUGAUUCCUGUAACCCAAUUUUAGAAAGAGAGGACUGGCUGGGCAAGAUGGCACACGCCUUUAAUUCCAGCACUCGGUAGCAAAGGCAGGCAGAUCUCUGUAAGUUUAUAGGCCAGCCUAGUCUACAAAGCUACAGCUAAACUCUGUCUUGAAAAAAAUCAAAAAAAAAAAAAAAGAAAGAAAAAGAAAAGAGAGAACUAACUCUUGUAAAUUGUUCUACACAUGAGUGCCACUAAACAAACACAUUUUUAGAAAUAUAUAUUCUACCCGGUAUGGUGGCAUACCCCUAUAAUUCUAGUAUUCCUCAGGAAACUAAAGCAGGAUUACUUUAAGUUCUAGGCUAAUCUGAACUACAUUGUGAGCCUGUCCCAAAAAAUGAGGUAAGAAAAUUAACUUUUUAAAAGAUGUGUUUUUAUUUAUGUGUAUGCUUGUGUGUCUGUGUGACUAUAUGCCAUGUGUGUGUUGUGUGUGUGUGUUGUGUGUGUGCCUGUGGAGGUCAGAUGAGGGAACUGGGUCCCUUGGAGCUGAAUCUACAGGCAGGCAUGAACCACCUGAUGUGAGUUCUGAGAACCAAACUCUGACCCUCUGGAAGAGCAGCAACUGUUUUAACCUCUGAGUCAUCUCUCCAACCCUGCAGCAAGUGUUCUUAACCACCAAGUCAUCUCUCUAGCCCCAAAUUAAUUAAUUAAUCCACCUGUUUAUCCUUGUUUGUUUGCCUCUCUUGUUAUCAUCAGUAUUAUUUUUAUUAUGUGUGCAUGCCUCUUUGUGUGUAUAUGUAGUUAUGUGUAUAUAAGGUCUGUGUGUGUGUGUGUGUGUGUGUGUGCAAAUGUGGAGGUCAGAGGAUAACUUUGUAGAGUCGAUUCUCUCCUACUUUUACCUUGGUUCCAAGGAUUGAACUCAGGUCUCCAGGUUUGUGUGGUAAGCAUCCUACUCUACUGAGCUACCUCACUGGUCCAUGCCUUUCUUGAGAAGGGGUAUCACUACUGCCUAUUAAUAUGACUACUAGAAAAAAAAUAUAAUUAUAUGUAUGUGUGUGUAGCUUGAAUUAUAAGUGUUUAUUAUAUAUAUGUGUGUGUGUAUAUUUUGCCUGCAUGUAUGUCUGUGUACUUAUAUGUGUGCAGUGCCUACCAAAGCCAAAAAUGAGGUUAGAUUUCCUGCAACUGGAGUUACAGCAAGUUGUGAGCUGCCAUGUGGGUACUAGGAAUUGAACCCGGGUCCUCUGGAAGAGCAGCCAUUGCUCUUCACUACUGAGCCACCGCUCCAGCCUCAUAUUACAUUAUUAUCAGGAAAUGCAAUGCAAGCAGGCAUAGACUAUUAUUAUCCCUAUUUAUAUAGUGAAUGUAAAAGAGACACAGAAUGGUUAAGCAACUUGCCCUAAAUCACACAGUUAGGACUAGGAACAUGACUUAGUAGUAAAGAGCUUGCCUAGCAUUGGUGAAUCUAGCACCAGAAACAAACUCAAACAGAAUACAAAAGAAAAAUCUAGGUAUCUUGAGGUUUUUGACUCAGUAGGAACAGAUUGCUGAUCUCUGGACCACACAGCCCAGAGGCUCGGGAUGUGGAACCUAACGGUCUGGAGGGGGCACAGGGAAUACAGAGAACCUACUUUGUAUAUUCCUGAUCUGACUGCCUCCCUCCUGGCAGACAUAUUUAGCUUUCCAGAGCACAUAGGCUUCCUCUCACUUGUGCCACAGGUACAUACAUGACCCUGGAGCCCAGAAGAUUCCAACAAGGGUGGGACUGUUCCAUCUGAAUGUCACUGGAGUAGAAUUAGAUGAGAACCAGAGCUGGUUCAAAUCCCAGGGCUCAUCUUGGAACUCACCUCGGUCUCAGUCUUGGAGUAUUCCUUCACUCUCUCCACGGCUAUGAUAUUAGAUUCCAAGUCUGACAUCAUUCGUAUCAUCCAAUUCAAAGCCAAGGUUACCUGAGUAAAGGAACUGUGUUAUGGGAGAGGCCCAGCAGGAGCUUUCUUCUCUGAUCUGUCCUUUCUAAGACCUACAGGGAGACCUCCCCGGACUACAGCACACUCCCUGGUUGGCAGCGUCUUCCCGUGCCUGACUGAUCUGCUUGUGAAGUGGAGGCGUGCACUCAGCAGAUGGCUUGGGAGUCCUGUGUGUUCUCUGGCCCAGUGGUGGCCCUGCCUAGUGUCAAUGGUCCC